rnacentral:rRNA from 1 species
AGAGUUUGAUCAUGGCUCAGGACGAACGCUGGCGGCGUGCCUAAUACAUGCAAGUCGAGCGAACAGAAAAGGAGCUUGCUCCUUUGACGUUAGCGGCGGACGGGUGAGUAACACGUGGGCAACCUACCCUAUAGUUUGGGAUAACUCCGGGAAACCGGGGCUAAUACCGAAUAAUCUCUUUUGCUUCAUGGCAAAAGACUGAAAGACGGUUUCGGCUGUCGCUAUAGGAUGGGCCCGCGGCGCAUUAGCUAGUUGGUGAGGUAACGGCUCACCAAGGCGACGAUGCGUAGCCGACCUGAGAGGGUGAUCGGCCACACUGGGACUGAGACACGGCCCAGACUCCUACGGGAGGCAGCAGUAGGGAAUCUUCCACAAUGGGCGAAAGCCUGAUGGAGCAACGCCGCGUGAGUGAAGAAGGUUUUCGGAUCGUAAAACUCUGUUGUAAGGGAAGAACAAGUACAGUAGUAACUGGCUGUACCUUGACGGUACCUUAUUAGAAAGCCACGGCUAACUACGUGCCAGCAGCCGCGG